GAUGAACGCUGGCGGCGUGCCUAAUACAUGCAAGUCGAGCGAACAGAUGAGGAGCUUGCUCCUCUGACGUUAGCGGCGGACGGGUGGGUAACACGUGGAUAACCUACCUAUAAGACUGGGAUAACUUCGGGAAACCGGAGCUAAUACCGGAUAAUAUAUUGAACCGCAUGGUUCAAUAGUGAAAGACAGUUUUGCUGUCACUUAUAGAUGGAUCCGCGCCGCAUUAGCUAGUUGGUAAGGUAACGGCUUACCAAGGCAACGAUGCGUAGCCGACCUGAGAGGGUGAUCGGCCACACUGGAACUGAGACACGGUCCAGACUCCUACGGGAGGCAGCAGUAGGGAAUCUUCCGCAAUGGGCGAAAGCCUGACGGAGCAACGCCGCGUGAGUGAUGAAGGUCUUCGGAUCGUAAAACUCUGUUAUUAGGGAAGAACAAAUGUGUAAGUAACUAUGCACGUCUUGACGGUACCUAAUCAGAAAGCCACGGCUAACUACGUG
rnacentral:rRNA from 1 species